rnacentral:rRNA from 1 species
GAUGAACGCUGGCGGCGUGCUUAACACAUGCAAGUCGAGCGGGCAAUUUAUCUAGCACUGAUUACUUCAAAUGGAAAUCAUAAGUGUAAUCAUGAAUUUCUACCUUUAAUAAAGAAAAAGAAAUUCAUGUACGCAAAUAGUGAUAACACAUGAAAGUGGAGUGAUGAGUGCUGGAUAAAUUGCUAGCGGCGGACGGGUGCGUAACACGUGGGUAACCUGCCCCUAUCACUGGGAUAACACACUGAAAAGUGUGCUAAUACCAGAUAAUAUAAGCUUUUGGCAUCAUUAGCUUAUCAAAGAAUUUCGGAUAGGGAUGGGCCCGCGUCUGAUUAGCUAGUUGGUGAGGUAACGGCUCACCAAGGCAACGAUCAGUAGCCGACCUGAGAGGGUGAUCGGCCACACUGGAACUGAGACACGGUCCAGACUCCUACGGGAGGCAGCAGUGGGGAAUAUUGCACAAU